GACGAACGCUGGCGGCGUGCCUAAUACAUGCAAGUAGAACGCUGAAGGAGGAGCUUGCUUCUCUGGAUGAGUUGCGAACGGGUGAGUAACGCGUAGGUAACCUGCCUGGUAGCGGGGGAUAACUAUUGGAAACGAUAGCUAAUACCGCAUAAUAGCAGUUGUUGCAUGACAACUGUUUGAAAGGUGCAAUUGCACCACUACCAGAUGGACCUGCGUUGUAUUAGCUAGUUGGUGGGGUAACGGCUCACCAAGGCGACGAUACAUAGCCGACCUGAGAGGGUGAUCGGCCACACUGGGACUGAGACACGGCCCAGACUCCUACGGGAGGCAGCAGUAGGGAAUCUUCGGCAAUGGACGGAAGUCUGACCGAGCAACGCCGCGUGAGUGAAGAAGGUUUUCGGAUCGUAAAGCUCUGUUGUAAGAGAAGAACGAGUGUGAGAGUGGAAAGUUCACACUGCGACGGUAUCUUACCAGAAAGGGACGGCUAACUACGUG
rnacentral:rRNA from 1 species